rnacentral:rRNA from 1 species
GGAAUAUUGCGCAAUGGGGGCAACCCUGACGCAGCAAUACCGCGUGAGUGAAGAAGGUUUUCGGAUCGUAAAGCUCUGUUAUUGGGGAAGAAAAAAGACGGUACCCAAGAAGAAAGUCCCGGCUAACUACGUGCCAGCAGCCGCGGUAAUACGUAGGGGACAAGCGUUGUCCGGAUUUACUGGGCGUAAAGGGCACGCAGGCGGUUUUUUAAGUCAGAUGUGAAUGGUACCGGCUCAACCGGUGACAUGC